CGAUGAUUCAAAGUUAAAAUUGUUUGGUUUUAAUGUUUUAAUUUUCUUGUUUUUGGUUAUGGCUGCUUUCAUUUUUUUCAACAACUGAGAGGGUAACGUUGCUGAUCACGGUUCAUUUGUUCAGGUAAACCAAGUAACCAGACAAUGAGAUGACUACCAUGAUGAUUGGGAAAAACUGUUUUCGGGAUACACAACAAUACACAAUUACCUUGAAAGAGAACCUUAUUCAAUAUAUCUGAUCUUUACUUUUUUUGUUUAUCCAUCAUCAUCAUCAUCAUCAUCAACAACAACAACAUCGUCGUCGUCGUCAUCAUCACCACCACUACCAAAACCACUGCUACCAUCAUCACAACUGUAUCUCACCACUACUUUGAUUCAGAAGAAGUAGUACAAGAUUGUAGGAAAAUAAGGAAAAACAAAAGAUGGAACCUUUUCUGGCUUAACCUUUAACUCAAGCAAAGAAACUGAAACAAUAUUGAAUAUAGAAGACAUUUUUAACCUUCUAUUAAGGUCUGAUUUACCGUUUAACCUGUUAUUAUUUAACCAAUCAACUGUAUAAUAUCUAGUAAUACGUUUGAGAAAGGUUAAAGAAAGAGGCUUUCUUUUUUUCCACAACAGUUAGUCAUACCGGAAGUUUUAACGGGACACACCCUUAUAACUAACAUCCCCAAAGGUAACAUUCAAGUAUCAACAUGUAAAGAUAACCGUUUUAUUGGUAGCGUGAAUGGAAAAAUGCAAGCUGAAGAAAAAGUGAAGACAUUUAGAUUCAUCUUCAUUAAGCUUUGAAGGGCAAAGUUUCUCUUCAUUCUUCGAAGUAACGGGUUUCAUGGCCGAUAAGGAAGUUUUACUUCAAGGUUAUCAUCUUAUUCCCUGAUUGCACGCUGGCCUAAUGACAAUUAUCGAAAACCUAUGAAUAACCCAGUCUUAGAGGGAUUAAAAUGGAUAUUGAACCUGUCAUUUUAUUCCUCAGUUACAGUUAUUACUACCUGUCGCUAUCUUUUUCUUGACUUUUAUUCAGUCUCACAGUCAACCAACACAUAUAUUUUCAACAUUACUGAAGACGCCUUGAUAAUGGAGAAAGAUUUCUAUUAUCGGAGUAUUUACCUCUCACAGUUAAUUAUAACGAUAAUUAAAUAUUGCAUGAGAGAUGUUAAAUUAUCUCCUUGUCAAUAUACAAUGUAAUUAUAAAAUACUGAAGAAAGUCACCAAGAAAUCAAACAAAAAAUCCAACACAAUUGAGAUGUAAUAUCUUGUGUUUUUUGGUAAUAACGUCCGUCAAGUGCAAAUUACUCUUAAUAGCUGAAAUGUUGACUGGAGAGAAGAACAAUGUUAAUUUUAAUGGAACAAUUGAAAAAUUAAUGAACUGAUUCAUUUGAUUUCAUCUGGAACAAAUAGUUAUUCAAUUAUCAAGCUUCAUAUGUGUUAGGAAUACAAACCCAACAAGUUGAGAUGUUUACAAGCUUUCCAUUUUUUUUCGUUGGACCAGUUGAUUAUAAUAGAGUUUAGUUAACUAUUGUACUGAUUCUUCCAAAAUGAUUUACCUGAUUAGAUGUAAAGAGCAGAAGCUAAAUUUCAAAUUUAAACCUUCAGUUGUUCAGGAACAUCAUCUCAAGCUCAUUGCCAAUCAUAUAUUUGAUCGGGACUUAAUUGCUUCACACUUUGUUUCCCCGAGAAGCGAAAAAUUAAUGAAAAGAUGAUCCAAAACAUAACAGCAAAACAAUAAUGAGACUUGGUUUGACUGAAAAAAAGUCAAUUUAUCAAUUCGUUGCAUUGUUUUCAAGGUCAGAAUGAAUCCAAAGACUGGUUUCCAAUCAUGAUCAUGGUUUAUUAUCUUCAACAAUUACUAUUAACCUCAUUCUCAGGCCUCUCAUCUCAACCAACAACUCUAUCGUCUAACUCUCUCAUUUCCGUUUCAAACUUUUCUAUUUUUGAUUUCUUCUCUUCCCUUUUAGCAUUGUCAGUAAACUACAAUUGAAUCAAAUUUUCAAUUUAGAAAAGGAAAAUUAUCGAAAUUCUCGGCAAGAAUAUCAUGGAAGGAGAAAGUCAACAAGAAAGGAAAGGAAAUCUUAACAAGAAAUAAUCGAAUGAACAGCAAAUUUAUUGUCUUGAAGUCUGUAGAAAAAGAAACCUUCACUUCCAGAAAGAUACUUUUCCAUUAACAUGGUCAUCAUUUCAUCGUUACCUAAAGCAAAACAAGAAACAAAUUGUCUUAUCAAACGCAGUAAACAUCAACAGCAAUCAUAUUCAACACUUUCAUAAUUAAGAUGAAAUACUCACAGCUCUAAGGGAAAUGACAACUUUCACCCGGCAAGACAAACUAAACCAAUUCAAGUCUAUUCAAGUUCAAAAAUCAAGUCAAAUCAAUCAAUUUAGAUGAGAAAAUAAACAAUCAAAAGUUAACUCAUAAAACAGAUAAAUUUAAAUAGGGAAAUAAAUCUGGAAAACCAUUUAAAUUGUUCCAAUUGAUGAAUAUCCAUUCGAAACGGAUUUCCAGCUCAUGGUGUAAAAAUCAAAUGAACACAGAAACAAAAAUUGCUGUACUAAAGGAUCUUGGGGUCAAGCAAUCAUUCACCUAAAGGUUGAAAAAGAGAUAAAGAUGAGCAUGAAGACGAUAAAGUUCAUAUGAUGAUAAAAUAUUGUGUAUUUCAUUAUUAUUGUAUUGUUUUUGUUUCGGCGUCUUCAACAAUCUUUAUUAACGUAAGUGAUUGCUUGGACCUUAUUAACCGCAACACCCUUUAAUUAACAGAUACCACGGAUAAUUAGCCCAAAAAUAAAACAACAAUAAGAGGUAAAUAACAAAGAAACAACUACCUCAAUUUAAUUGACAAUCAACAAUGGUGAAAAGCUAGCUAUUGAAGGCAAUGUUAUGAAAAUAUCUUAUUAAUAAUCAUUCAAAUUCACUUUUCACAACCAUCUUAAAUCAACUGAAUCAACAUUGGAGCUUAAAAAUCGAGAAAUUUAUCAUAGAAAAAACUAAUUUAGAAAAUAAUAAGUAAUCAAAUUUACAAUCAACUGAAUUUUCCUCUUUCGAGGUAAUACUGGAAAAAAAUCACCUCACAACUAUAGUCAAGUAUUUGUACAAAGCUGAAAAAAAAUUAAUAAAAAUACAGUCAACUCCUUUG